CUUUCACAGGUGAAUAUUUUAAACUGAAUUUGGUUGUUGGUAGCAAACUGUUUUAAGAACCAAAACUAAUCUGAAAUUCUAGCUUUUGAAAUCCUAGCUUGGUGUAAAAAAAAAAGUGGAUUGUGCCCCUAACCAUGACUACUACACAGAUUACAAGCUUUUCUUAUUUUUUCCUGCUAAAGGAAGGUCUUCCUUCCAGGGCUGCAGGAGCAGAAGGUGAAAAAAUCAUGGAGUAGUAUCCACAUUGCAAUUAGAGAGGAUAGGAGGCUGGAUCACCAGUUUUAUUUUCAGGAAGGCAAGGUUUUUACAUGAAAAUAAGUUUUGGGCAAUUAGCCAGUUAGACAAACUAACAUUAUAAUCAAUAUUUUGAAUCUUGUUUGUUUAGGUAAUUAUGAUCCACACAUGAAUCCAGAGAAAGUUACAUUUGUGACGUACAGAUUGUCACUCACAAUUCGCCUGACGGAUGCCGUGAGAGUAAUGCUGGAGAAAAGUGUAGAUGGCACGAUACAGCUGCAAGAAAACUGGGUGAAAGAGCUUAAUAGAAGAUGAAUAACAGAUGCGGUUUAUCUCCUGAGAACGAAAGCAAUAGAAUUGCGCAAGUUUUUUAAGAAGGCGAAAAGAAGACCCGGUGGGCAGUCACAAGGUGGAAGUUGCUCGUACAUUGAAGACCAAAUAGGAUUUGAAGUGGGGAUGGCCUCUCCUUUUCAUAGGUAAGGUUACCAAAUUGUUAUUCAUUGAGGAUUUGAAAGAAAAUGUAAAAUGACAUAAAAAUUAUUAAAUCUUUUAUUUGUCUUCUGUAUAUUGGUAUUUUCAAAUCCCCUUCCUAAAAUGCGGGUGUUUUUUUUCUUUAAAGAAAUGUGUAAUAAGGAAACUAAUUAUCUUAAGUCUAUGAAAAGUUACUUUUAAAUAUUUUAGUUGUCAUUCUAAUAUACUAUUUUUAAUGUAAAAAUGGGAACAUAUUUUUUUGGUAUGAGGAAUCUGUCAAUCAUACCUUCUAUUGCUAGACUUUUUAUUUAUUAUUUUUUUUAUUUAUUUUUUACACCAGUUAGAGAACUUUGAAAGUAA